GUCACGCCGUCGCCGUCGUCGGGCCGGUCGGCGUCGCCCUUCAGUCUGCAAGGCACCGCCCUCCACGAGGAGGCCGGCGUCUAGCGUCCAGCCCUGUCUGUGUGUGUCAGACUGUGUAUGACUGUGUGUGUGUGCAAGCCGAGGGCUGUGCAGAGACUCAAUAAAAGAACGGCAGGCCCCCAAGCAGCCUCUCGAAGAGCGGCUGUGUAUAUUUCAAUUAAUUUGUCUUGACGCACGCCGUCUUCUUCCGCAGAGGUCUAAUCUGCUUCAAACGGAGCCGCCCCGUAUUCGGGGCGCCGUGAGGAGAAAAGGGUGCGGAGUGGCCCGAGACUUGGCCAAGGUACUCGCGACUUGCGCCGCCCUCGCAGCAUCCAUCCCGUCCAGCCAGUCUCGUCCUCGCCCCGUUGAGGCGGACGGAGACGUUGCCAAGUGAAAGCAUCUUCGCAGAGACCCCCGCCCCGCCCCGCCCCGUCGGCACAGGCCCAGGCAAGUUUCGUGGCGCCGGAGCAACACGCUUGGAGGGCAAACGUCGUACCAUCGUGCCAGUUCCCUUUCGGUUGCUUUCUCAAUGCUGUGAAAGAGUGUUUACAUAUCCAAAACGUGUGAUUUUAUAAACUAAAUGAAAUUUUUAUUGCCAUUUCCCAGAAAAAGAGAGAAAGAUCCCUUCGUGACGCAUGGUGUUGUAAAUCCGUGAAUGCAUUUAUUUUGUGUAGCGUCAUUUUCCGCUCCUUUCUCCAUGAUAAUUGUACUGUAAAACGCAGCAGCGCCGCUCACCUGCCAACAGGACUGUCUGAACUGGGUGUACAGUGGGCAGGCUUCUCUGUGCCAGCAGGACGCAAGGGAAUGCCCAGUAGAGUCGGUUCCGUUUUUGUUUAUUUCGUUUGUUUUUAGGUCAGUUGAACGCACAACGAUGCCGCACUAUCAUACCCGUUUACAAGGAGAAAAUGUAGUCUGUAGACAGGAUUUUUUUCUUUUGUAGGGAAAUAAAUGUUGGUACUAAACGUAAUAUACGUUUUUUUUGUAAGCGAAAUUGGAAGGAGCGUUACAAACUCAUACCUCAGAAGACUUAUACAAAAUUGUAAAUAACAUAUGACUGCACCAAUGGCGUUUAUAAUAUGGUGCAUUCCAUGCUGCAAUAAGGCAAUCAAUUUUUAAAAUCAAACAAAAUUUUGACUUGGUAAUUAUAAGUAGAUUCUAAUACAUAUUUUGGAAGAAAGUAUGUGUGAGUGUGUGUAUAAAGUAAAAUUUUAUAGUGUGUACAUAAUUUAAAACCCGUAAUUCUCAGAAAACGUAGAAGUAAAUUUUUGAAUCAUCCUCUUUUGUGUUUAGGUGAGAAUUAAUGUUUUAAAAUGGUAUAAUUGUUAGUUAUAUUGUGUGUGUAGAUGAAAUCCUUCUGAACUUGCUUUCAUACGACAUGAAAUACAACCGGUAUUUACGACAAUGAAUGAUAAUUGUUUUAAAUUAAAUUAAGGAUACUCAAACAAAUGUCAUUUCAGAUUGUUAUUUUUAAUAAAACUGAGAAAUCUAUUACUGAGCAUAUCAGAACUACAGCAUACAGCACUGCCGUGAGCGGGGUGUGCAUUCCAAAGCAAACACUUUAGGUUAUCAAAAAUUUGAGUUUAGUGACUUUUGUUUAGUUUGGGGUCAAAUUAGCUGUAAUCCCCGGCCCACCUCAAAGCCUCAGUCAAAUUUGAAUAUUUGCAGAGUAACCAUCGAGUGAAGGAAGGUUGCACAUGAAUGCGAAGUUUAGAAUGAGAGGUCAUGAGAAAGUGUGUAUGGCUGUGUAUGAGUACCUGUAUGUAAGCCCCCUUUCAAUUCAUUGUAUGAAUGAUUGUAAAAAUACAAAAUUAGAGCUGAGUCCAGUUGAAAGCCAAAUUCUAUUCUUGUUUAACUAGGUACAUUUAUGAAUGUAAGAAAGCCCAUCAUCUUCACAAUGACUUGUUUCAAUUAAGAGAACAUAACUGUACAACGCUCUCCAUUUGAAGAUAAAGGUAAUAAAGACGAGUAAACUUUA